GUUUUAACCUUUAACUUCUCCCUGUUCUUAUUCAAUAAUCAAAAUCUUCACACAGAAAGUCUUCACAAGGUCCAAAUUCAUAGGUGAGUUUCACAAAAUCUACAUAUAACACAAUUUUCUCAAUAAAUAAGAGCCUGAGAGGAGACUCUUCAUAAAAACUCCACCCCGCCAGUUCUGAAUCGCCGAAACGUGAGGAGUCACGUCGAAAGCGGACGCAAGAGCUUGUGGGGAAUGUAGUCCUGAAGGAGUCUGGUUCGCCGCGCAGCACUCUGGGAUGGGGCUACUGGGCUCCUUCUGCGCCUGUGCAGCCGAAGCCCCACCGCCUCAUUUGAGUUCUGGAGACUUCGGGGAAGCGGUUGGGAAGCUCUGGGGUCGGCUCGCAAAGUAGAGGGGACGCAGCUGGGGCGGGAGGGCCGCGUUUGUGCCCGGGAGUGGGAGAGGAAGCGGGAAGUUCGUGGGAUUCCCGCCCCCAGUGUCAGUGGAUGCGACCGGGCGGGCCCUCGGCCUUCCCGGCCGGUGGAGAGGGACCGCGGUCACUGGCUCCCCCGGGGCGGCUGGGGCUGAGCGCUGGUCGGGAGCAGGUGCCGGGUGCGGGCCGCGGUGUGCGGGACGGGAGCCUGGCGCGAGCGGCGGCGGGAGGGGAAAGCGCAUUUGUAACGCGAGCGACAGCGUGCCCGAAAUCCCCGGACGGUGGGUCUGCAUCGAGACCCCGAGCUCUGGAGCUGGAAGAACCCGGCUGAGGCUUCACAGUUCUCUACACUCUCCCAAGAGCCACAGACAAUGAACACAUUUCAGGUAAGCUCUUUAUUCAUUCCCCACUUUGUAUUGUAAUGGAUUUAUGAGGUGUAGAUGGGUCCUUGCAUUAAAUGGAAAAGGAGAAAUAGAUCGAGAAAAUCUUGAGGGAAAAUAUAUACAGUUUUACCAUGAACUCUUGUUUGCUGUCAGCUUUUGGUAAAUAAUGUUUGUCAGGGUUAGUAGGUUCCCUCCAGUUACCAGUUUGCCAAGAUCUCAUGCUAGUUAUGAAUGCACAUUGAAUUAUAUUAAAUACUUUUUGUAUAUCUAUUAGAAUAAAUGUAUAGCUGUGUCCUUUAAUGAAUCUGUA
rnacentral:lncRNA from 1 species